CUAGCAUAAGAAAAAAUGAAGGUGAACUGGCCAAGCCUUGGGCAGAACCAGGUCAACAUGUGCACGUAAAGAGCAAAGAUCGAUCAUCUUCUUUUGUUUUUUUCUUCUUCCAACCUGCAGAUGAACUUCUCAGCCCAGGCUCUUUCCAUGGUUCAGUGAGGAGAAAUGGCCAUUUUUGGCAUGUGGUUUGUCAGGUCAGUGUGGAUAUUUGUCCUGGGAGAGGAUGAAUCAGCCUCCACCUGUGUGCCUGUGAAAGCACCUGUGGGUGAACAGCUCGGAUGUGCAUAUCCCAUGGGACUGAAGGAAACCUACCCACUGUGCACCAGACCUGUCUGCUACAGACAAUUUCUGGAACUGCCUGAACUCCUAGGUUUGUUUAAAUUUCAUGUUGCAGUUUUUUCCCAAGAAGAGCCUCUCCAAGCUCCCAACAGCCUUUCCUGGAAAAGACACAGCAAGAGAGGUGAUUAAGGGAGCCCAGCAGGCACGUGCCCUGAGCAGACAGGCCCUGGCGCUCACAUGCUGUUUCUCCGAGUUAUUCUGCAGUCCCCACCAGAAAUAACCCCAAAGGCCCACGACUGCCUCUCACAGCACCCACACCAGCAGAGCCAGCUGCUCCUUCCCUUCCCACUCCCCUUGCAAGCAGCCGCACAUGGAUGAGCACUCCUACACCUUUCAUACCCUUCAGUGCGGCACCACGAGCAGAGGAGGAGAACAAAGGACAGCUCUGAACCAGUCACUGAGCUGGAUGAACCUUUGCUCUGCGUGGAUCUCACUCCACAGCUGAUUCCAGGCCCUGGCAGACCUGCGGGGAAAGGCUGUGUGUGCCAUGUGCUGCUGGCACUCUGGUUCUUCACACACCCCCGAGAUCCUGAACUCUGCUGGAGCAGCCGGUGGCACAGCUAGGUCAGGCCCUUAGAAAUCAGAUCUUUUACCAUUAGACUGUAUCUAAAAGGAAGCUGGCCUAUAUCUGAGGACAGCAGGCAGAGGAGGGAUAGACAAAACUACAUUUGUGCUCAACCUGACCUACUAAAUCAAACAGCCCAGUGUGAGUGUUGCAAUGAGACAUCUUUGCUUCCUAUAGACUUGGAUUUAAAAAAAAUAAAAAGCAUUUUAGAAACCUUCCUGUAGGUCUU
rnacentral:lncRNA from 1 species